GACGAACGCUGGCGGCGUGCUUAACACAUGCGAGUCGAACGGGGAUUAUUGGAAUGAGAGCUUCGGCAGGAUUUCGGGUAAUUCUAGUGGCGGACGGGUGAGUAACGCGUGAGCAACCUGUCCCAGACAGGGGGAUAACACUUGGAAACAGGUGCUAAUACCGCAUGAGACAACAGCAUCACAUGGUGAAGGGGUAAAAGGUGGAAACCGGUUUGGGGUGGGCUCGCGUCCGAUUAGAUAGUUGGUGAGGUAACGGCCCACCAAGUCGACGAUCGGUAGCCGACCUGAGAGGGUGAUCGGCCACAUUGGAACUGAGAGACGGUCCAAACUCCUACGGGAGGCAGCAGUGGGGAAUAUUGGGCAAUGGGCGAAAGCCUGACCCAGCAACGCCGCGUGAGUGAAGACGGCCUUCGGGUUGUAAAGCUCUGUUGUAAGGGAAGAACGGUACGGAGAGAAUCUGUAAGUGACGGUACCUUACCAGAAAGCCACGGCUAACUAC
rnacentral:rRNA from 1 species